rnacentral:rRNA from 1 species
GACAUGUACGGAAGCCUUUAGAGAUAGAGGCGUGCUCGAAGAGAGCCGUAACACAGGUGCUGCAUGGCUGUCGUCAGCUCGUGUCGUGAGAUGUUGGGUUAAGUCCCGCAACGAGCGCAACCCUUGUCAUUAGUUGCUACAUUCAGUUGGGCACUCUAAUGAGACUGGCCGGUGACAAGCCGGAGGAGGUGGGGAUGACGUCAAGUCCUCAUGGCCCUUAUAGGUGGGGCUACACACGUCAUACAAUGGCUGGUACAAAGGGUUGCCAACCCGCGGAGGGGGAGCUAAUCCCAUAAAGCCAGUCGUAGUCCGGAUCGUAGUCUGCAACUCGACUACGUGAAGUCGGAAUCGCUAGUAAUCGUGGAUCAGAAUGUCACGGUGAAUACGUUCCCGGGUCUU